rnacentral:rRNA from 1 species
UACAGAGGUGGCAAGCGUUGUUCGGAAUUACUGGGCGUAAAGGGCGCGUAGGCGGCCAUCUAAGUCAGACGUGAAAUCCCCCGGCUUAACCUGGGAACUGCGUCUGAUACUGGACGGCUUGAGUAUGGGAGAGGGAUGUAGAAUUCCAGGUGUAGCGGUGAAAUGCGUAGAUAUCUGGAGGAAUACCGGUGGCGAAGGCGGCAUCCUGGACCAUUACUGACGCUGAGGCGCGAAAGCUAGGGGAGCAAAUGGG